CGAUCUAGCUUGCUAGAUGCUGACGAGCGGCGGACGGGUGAGUAAUGCAUAGGAAUCUGCCCGGUAGUGGGGGAUAACCUGGGGAAACCCAGGCUAAUACCGCAUACGUCCUACGGGAGAAAGGGGGCUCCGGCUCCCGCUAUUGGAUGAGCCUAUGUCGGAUUAGCUGGUUGGUGAGGUAAUGGCUCACCAAGGCGACGAUCCGUAGCUGGUCUGAGAGGAUGAUCAGCCACAUCGGGACUGAGACACGGCCCGAACUCCUACGGGAGGCAGCAGUGGGGAAUAUUGGACAAUGGGGGCAACCCUGAUCCAGCCAUGCCGCGUGUGUGAAGAAGGCCCUCGGGUUGUAAAGCACUUUCAGCGAGGAAGAACGCCUGGUGGUUAAUACCCAUCAGGAAAGACAUCACUCGCAGAAGAAGCACCGGCUAACUCCGUGCCAGCAGCCGCGGUAAUACGGAGGGUGCAAGCGUUAAUCGGAAUUACUGGGCGUAAAGCGCGCGUAGGUGGCUUGAUAAGCCGGUUGUGAAAGCCCCGGGCUCAACCUGGGAACGGCAUCCGGAACUGUCAAGCUAGAGUACAGGAGAGGAAGGUAGAAUUCCCGGUGUAG
rnacentral:rRNA from 1 species